GGCUCAGAACGAACGCUGGCGGCGCGCUUAAGCAUGCAAGUCGAACGGCAAGAGGUAGCAAUACCUCCUAGAGUGGCGGACUGGUGAGUAACACGUGGGUGACAUACCCUUCAGAUGGGGAUAGCUAUUAGAAAUAGUAGAUAAUACCGAAUACGAGCACAGGGGUUAGAGAUCUGUGAGGAAAGGAGCUAAGGCUCCGCUGAAGGAAUGGCCUGCGGCCCAUUAGCUAGUUGGUGAGGUAAGAGCCCACCAAGGCGAUGAUGGGUAUCCGGCCUUAGAGGGUGAACGGACACAUUGGGACUGAGAUACGGCCCAGACUCCUACGGGAGGCAGCAGCUAAGAAUAUUCCGCAAUGGACGAAAGUCUGACGGAGCGACGCCGCGUGGAUGAAGAAGGCCGGAAGGUUGUAAAAUCCUUUUGAAACUGAAGAAUAAGCGUUGUAGGGAAUGACAGCGUGGUGACAGUAGGUUUUGAAUAAGCAACGGCUAAUUACGUGCCAGCAGCCGC
rnacentral:rRNA from 1 species